AGUGAACGCUGGCGGUAGGCCUAACACAUGCAAGUCGAACGGCAGCACAGUAAGAGCUUGCUCUUACGGGUGGCGAGUGGCGGACGGGUGAGGAAUACAUCGGAAUCUUCUUUUUCGUGGGGGAUAACGUAGGGAAACUUACGCUAAUACCGCAUACUACCUACGGGUGAAAGCAGGGGAUAUUCGGACCUUACGCGACUGAAUGAGCCGAUGUCGGAUUAGCUAGUUGGCGGGGUAAAGGCCCACCAAGGCAACGAUCCGUAGCUGAUCUGAGAGGAUGAUCGGCCACACUGGAACUGAGACACGGUCCAGACUCCUACGGGAGGCAGCAGUGGGGAAUAUUGGACAAUGGGCGAAAGCCUGACCCAGCCAUGCCGCGUGAGUGAAGAAGGCCUUCGGGUUGUAAAGCCCUUUUGUUGGGAAAGAAAAGCAGCAGGUGAAUACCCCGCUGUUCUGACGGUACCCAAAGAAUAAGCACCGGCUAACUUCGUG
rnacentral:rRNA from 1 species